GACGAACCGUGCAACCGUUGUUCGGAAUCACUGGGCUUAAAGGGCGCGUAGGCGGCGCAACAAGUCACUUGUGAAAUCUCCGGGCUUAACCCGGAGCGGCCAAGUGAUACUGUCGUGCUAGAGUGCGGAAGGGGCUACUGGAAUUCUCGGUGUAGCGGUGAAAUGCGUAGAUAUCGAGAGGAACACCUGCGGCGAAGGCGGGUAGCUGGGCCGACACUGACGCUGAGGCGCGAAAGCCAGGGGAGCGAACGGG
rnacentral:rRNA from 1 species